AUCUUGUACUUGUGAUUUUGAGAUCUCUAGCUCUCCUUGAACUCUAGAAAGCUCCGAAGCUGUACAUGUGAGUGCUUCUUCAACCGUCUGAUUUUCAGUAAUCUUCUCAUUUAGGCCCUUGAGUUCUUCUUGUAAAGAAGCCAUCUGGUCUUCAACUUCUUUUGCACUCUGCUUCGACAACUCCAGCAAUCUCUCAAACUCCAAGGCUCUCGUUGUCUCUGAUUCUGC
rnacentral:lncRNA from 1 species